UGAAGUUUUGUAUCUUUUAACAGAAUCUAAGGUUUUGUUGAGUAAAAGAGAUUUCCAAACUCUUGGACCCAUUCUGACCCCAAGGAAGUGAAAGGAGCCAUUUUUCAGGAGUUUGGAUGGUGGCAGCAAUAUUUUUGACAGUCUGGCCCACAGCCAUACUAAUUUACUAAUUCUUCUGCUGACAUGGCCCUGAGUUUUGAGUUUGUUUGGGUAUCAGGGCAAGUAUUCCCAGGGCUUGCUUCAUGAUUGGUCUAAGCAACUGUGUUCAUCUCAUUCCCCUUUCCAGUAAUCGUUUUAGUCAUAGUUACAUGACCCAAUUCUGGCCAUGGGGACAUGAGGAAUUCAGCAGGGAAGCUUUUAGAAAAGAUUUUUUCUCUCAGAUUUAAAAAUAAAAAAAUACACGGAAGGAGAAGUUGUUUUAGUCCUUCCUACUUUCAGUACUAUCAUGUGAGGAUGUGAUUCAUGGAACUGCUGCAGCUUUCUUGUGAACAUGAGGGAAACUAAGAAGUUCAGCCAGGGUCCUGACAUUGGUGAGCUACAGAAACAGCUUUGGGUAAGUAUUCUUCCGGACUUUGUAUGUGAGAUUGCUAAUUAGCCCUAUUGUUUAAGCCAACUUUAGUUGGGUAUUCUGCUACUUGCAGCCAAAAGCAUCCUAACUGAUGUGAUUACUAUGUGUGUUUUGUUCACCACCAAUGCCUAGCAUGGGGUCUGGCAUAUAGCUAGAAGCUCAAUAAUUGUUUUAUGAAUUAGCGAACGAUAGCACUGUUCAAUCUUACUGCUGGGUCUACUCUGGCUAUGCUCUGGCUCUGGUAGAGAAGUUCUGGAGAGGUCCCAGGAGUCUAUCUGAUCCUGGGUUACCUGCCUGGAGUCCCAGCACUUGGCUGCUGGGUCUUUUUUGGUUCUUGACAGGUUUUCCAGGGUUGGAGUUACGCCCCUGGCCAGUGGUGACUCAUAGUUCUCCCUGACACCAACCUCUGCCCAGACUGUAGAAGGACAACUUGCAUAUCUUCUGUUGCUGAGUUCCUUCUGGAGAGAAACUACAUGUUACCUUCUGUUGAGCUGCCUUGCCAUAGACCUCCUGCCUCGAUUGCCAGAAAAGGAAAGGAAGAAUUUACAUUCUGCCUCAUGGGCCAACCAGAGACCUGAACUCAGAAUCUUGCCUUCUGGGUGUAUGUCCUUCUUUUUGCCAUAUCCAAGUUCUUUCCAUUUCUGCUUGGAGAGACCUGCUGAAAUCACACUUGAGGGAGGCAUUGUGACUCUCCCUGACCAGAAUCACCCAUGAAGCUGGAUUAUGAGCUCCCAUGAAACCAGACUCAUCACUCAAACUGAAACUUGGUUGUGACCCCAGACAGCAUUUCCCAGCAUGAUCACCCAACCUACUCAGCAGACUGCUCCAAAUGGCUUAGAACUGUUUUCAAAACUCACAUCCUCCAUCUGAGGAUACAUGCUGUCAGGGUUAUCUUUCUAAAACACAUCUCAGAUCAUGUGCUUCAGUGGUUCUCAGUUGCAUAGAUAAUUAAGUCUCAACUUCUCAGCCUGAUUUUCAAAACUUUAUUAUACAACUCCCACUCAGCCUUCCAGUUCUGUCAUCGACCAGCAGUCUCCCAUGAACACACGACGACCUUUCUAGUUACCAAUGAAAAGUACCAUUUACUGAGCUCUUAUUAUGUGCCCCACACUGCACUAAGAGCUUUAAACAAUAUCUCAUUUUAUCCUUAUAGGAUUUUGUAGGAUAAAUAUUAUCUCUGUAGUACAAAUAAUAAAACAAUGAUUGCUAGCUCUUUUUAUAGUGCUUACAAUGUGCUAAGGCGUUGUUCUAUAGAAAUAUGUGUGCCACAUAUGUAAUUUUACAUUUUUCGUAGCCACAUUAAAAAGUCAAAAGAAAUAAGUGAAGCUGAUUUUAAUAAAAUAUUUUGUCAGGGAGCAUGUAAUUAACAUAAGACAUCAUUAAUGAGAUAUUCCACAUUUUCUUUCUUUUUUUAUUUUUUGAUACUAAGUCAUUAAAAUCUGGUGUGUAUUUUACACCUAUUACAUAUCUCAAUUUGGAUGCUAAAUUUUCAUUGGAAACAUUUGAAUUCCAAUGAAAUCAACAAAAUAAAUACUAUGUUUAUAUUUUAUAAAAUGUACAGUAAAAAAAUGUAGAUUACAUACCCAAGUUGUUAUGAACAUAUCUGCAUAUCUGGAAGAUUUCUAACAUCUGAAUCAAGUACCAAAAAGUCAUUUCCUUUUCUAUUCUCAUCUAAAUUGUUAAAAUUGCUUGAAUUUAACAUUUUUAAUUUCACUUUCAAUCAAUUAAAAUAGAGUUAAAAUUUUAAUUUCUAACGUUGCCCUAGCCACAUUUCAAGCCUCAGUAGCCACAUGUGGCUGUGGCUGCCGUGCUGGACAGCAUAGGUCUAAGCACUUUACUACUGUGAGGUAGGUGCUGUUAUUAUCUUCACUUCAUUCUCAGCAAACUAACAAAAGAACAGAAAACCAAACGCCGCAUGUUCUCACCACAUUGUUCA